UCCCUGUCUCCUGGAUGUGUGGAUGAAAUGUCAUGCCUCUGUCAUGCCUCCUUUGCCACAUGGACUUUAUCCCCUUGGGACUGAAGCCAAAAUUACACUUCCUUCCUUAACUUGCUGUUGGUCAUGAGACUUUUAUCACAACAACAGAAAGAUCUACGGGAUGAAGCCCAUAUGGUGAAGAAGGUUGGAGGAAGGUGCCGGAUUUCCAGGAAGUGAAGAUACAGAUGGUUGCCGACUGCCAAGCGGAUGCUAGGAACUGAGCGUAGGUCCUCCAGGAGAGCAGCCAGCGCUGGUCACUGCUGAGCCAUCUCUCCGAAAAGUUUUAUCACUGUACGACUGAAGAGGACUUCAUGGGACCUGCACGUCUCAUUUUAUCCUGUUAUUGUCACGUUAACAGCGAGCAGUGAACAAGGGUGUGAGUCCUGACAACUGGUUUCAUUUCUUCUGGAGACAGUGGUGGGGUUGCUGUUCCUAUGGUCACCCUAUUUUUAAUUCUUGAGAGUCCCCAUAGUGCUUUCUAAGAUAGGUCUGAGCGACCUCUCCCACAGUGUUUGAGAAUUUGACUGUGCACCCUCGCCAGCACCUACUGUAAUCAUUUCGAUCAUAGUUGUCCUUCCUGGGGUCACGACAGGGACACGGGCUGUACUUCCUAGAGAUGCUGACCUUGCCCUGGGCCUGCAGAUGUCUAAUGGGUAACUAGAAGAAGAGAAA
rnacentral:lncRNA from 1 species